UACGUAGGGUGCGAGCGUUGUCCGGAAUUAUUGGGCGUAAAGAGCUCGUAGGCGGUCUGUCGCGUCGGUCGUGAAAACUUGGGGCUUAACCCUGAGCUUGCGGUCGAUACGGGCAUGACUGGAGUUCGGCAGGGGAGACUGGAAUUCCUGGUGUAGCGGUGAAAUGCGCAGAUAUCGUAAGGAAGACCAGUGGCGAAGGCGGGUCUCUGGACAGUUCCUGACGCUGAGGCACGAAGGCCAGGGGAGCAAACGGG
rnacentral:rRNA from 1 species